CGCUGUUUGUGAGGAUUGUGGUUACCAGGAGACGUCAUAGAGACAAAGGACAUCUAUCGCAGGCGAGCCACUAACAAUUUUCCAUGAAAGUCAGCCUGCGAGGAUGCAGCGGACGCGAGCUUGCAGUGGUUGUUCCAUCGGUGCUCCAGCGUUGGCAUGAUGGCCUAUGCCAUCCUCCUUGGUGUACCCCACAUUGGCAGUGGCAACUUCGUCUGUGACGAGCUAACCUCCAUUGGGCCGCUGCCGUGCAGUUGAGUGAGAGUUGACAAUCUCUCCUUACCCGCUCUGAGAAAUGCAAACACUGGUUGGAGUUCCCGCAGAUUUAGAAUGAUGAUGAGGUAGCUGUCCAGGGCUGUGGUAUCUGCUCUGCUUUCCAGAAAAGCGAAUGCAGUCACGGAGCUUCCUGCAGAUUUUCACAUGGUGGGCGG
rnacentral:rRNA from 1 species